AAUAGAUACCCGGGUAGUCCACGCCGUAAACGUUGGGAACUAGGUGUGGGCGACAUUCCACGUCGUCCGUGCCGCAGCUAACGCAUUAAGUUCCCCGCCUGGGGAGUACGGCCGCAAGGCUAAAACUCAAAGGAAUUGACGGGGGGCCCGCACAAGCAGCGGAGCAUGUGGCUUAAUUCGACGCAACGCGAAGAACCUUACCAAGGCUUGACAUACACCGGAAAACCCUGGAGACAGGGUCCCCCUUGUGGUCGGUGUACAGGUGGUGCAUGGCUGUCGUCAGCUCGUGUCGUGAGAUGUUGGGUUAAGUCCCGCAACGAGCGCAACCCUUGUUCUGUGUUGCCAGCAUGCCCUUCGGGGUGAUGGGGACUCACAGGAGACUGCCGGGGUCAACUCGGAGGAAGGUGGGGACGACGUCAAGUCAUCAUGCCCCUUAUGUCUUGGGCUGCACACGUGCUACAAUGGCCGGUACAAUGAGCUGCGAUACCGCGAGGUGAGCGAAUCUCAAAAAGCCGGUCUCAGUUCGGAUUGGGGUCUGCUAACG
rnacentral:rRNA from 1 species